rnacentral:lncRNA from 1 species
AUGGUGAACUUCGUGACUCCCUGGGUGACCAUUUUCAGCUCAGGGGAGAAGCACUUUCGCAAGAGUAUAGCUUGUUCACUGGGUAUGUGGGUGGCCCGGGGGCUGGGGGUUCCCUUGACCACCCAGGCCAGGCAGAAGGCGAACCGCUCCUUGGUGAGGUAUUGCAGAAACACCUGCUCGGCCUCACCUUGCUUUUCCUGGGGGCAGGAUCUGGCUGUGUUGUCCUUGAAUGGCUCCCUCCUGGUCCACCCUUGCACGGCCAGCCUGGCAGCUCAGGUAUCUUCUGGGGACACCUUCGCCCGGGCCCACAUCCACACAGCCUGCGGCCACCACCAUACCCAUCUGGACACCAGCCUCCAACACGCAUGGCCUCCACUUCAGGCGCUCGGGGUCGCCCCCGACAACCAUAUCCAAGUGUCUGUGGGGGGACACAAACACCCCAGGGCCAGGCUGGCGGUGGCCUUGGGCCAGUGCACCCUGACUGCUCAUGGGGAUGUCAUUACUGAGGCCAACACCACACACGCCAACUGGACCCUGUCGGUGGUGAAUCGCUGUCCCCCGCUGGAGGCAACAGGCCUCCCGCAGGCUCUGCGCUCCGAGGGCAACCUGAGCUGGAGCUCCUGUGAGGUCAGUCUGGCCUCGGGCCUCCGCAGCGACGACGGAGAAGCCCACCUGCAGCUGGCCCGCACCUGCGGGCCCCAGACCUCGGUCGUCGGGCACCUGGCCCACUCCCUGCCCCUGCUGGGCCGCCUGGGCCUGCCACCCAGUGGCACCAUCAGCCUGGCCGUCCAGCCACAGCCUGCCGCCCGCCACUCCCUGGCCCUCCAGCUGGGGCCAUGCCGGCUGCAGGGGACGCUGGAGCAGCGCGCUGGCAACCGGAGUGCAUGGAUGCUGGCCUCUGAGCCCGGCUGCCCGCUGCUGGAGGUGCGUACGGCAGGCCAGCGAGGCGGCCGGAGGGGCUUCCUGAGCCCCUGCCAGGGUGAGGCCUGAGCCUGGCUGGCUCCUUCCUCCUGGCGCUUCCCAAAUUCUCUCCCCAACACUCGAUUCCUCUCUAGUCUCUUACUCCCACUUGGCAGAUGGGAAGAUUGAGGCCGAGAGCAAUGAGAGUCAGCGCUGUGCAACAGAAGGACACAGACUUGGAAGUGAUGAAUUGGUCUUUUCAGUGAAAUUCUGAAUGCAGGAAGGGAAAUGGGGGGCACUGUCCUGAGCUGACAGGGGGGACAGACAUGUCUUGGUUUCAUAACCUGUUAGAAACCACCGGCUGGGCUUUAUCUGGGCCAAAAGCUGGUCUCAGAAUUAUCCUGUGAUAUUUGGGGGAGGAAAACCCGACUCUCAAGAAAGGGAGAUGCCGAGUCAGACGCAACUGGCAUCUUUGUCUGAGUAGGACAGGCCACCCUGCAAGUCUCCUUGUCUCUCCCUCCCCCCUGUUUUUUUUUUUUUUUUAAAGAUUUUAUUUAUUUAUUCAUGAGAAGACAGAGAGAGAGAGAGAGAGAGGCAGAGACACAGGCAGAGGGAGAAGCAGGCUCCACGCAGGGAGCCCGAUGCGGGACUCGAUCCUGGGACCUCAGGAUCACGCCCUGGGCCGAAGGCAGAUGCUCAACUGCUGAGUCACCCUGGCGUCCCUGUCUCUCCCCUCCUGAUGGAGCUUCCUGGGGGUAGGGACGGAGCUGGUCCCCUUGGCAUCCCUAAGCACUCACAGAUGCUCUGUCACUAUCAAGUCAGCGCACAACUGAGCCACCAGAGCGUAAAGCAUCACGGGAGCAGCAGGCCCACCCAUUCGAACUCUAGGAUGAUGGAAAACCUCUGUCCUUUGCUGUCCAGGACGCAGCCACUAGCCACGCAGUGGCCACGCAGGGCCCCUGAACACUUUAGUGGUGCUCACCUGUGCAACCGAGAAACUGAAUUUCUCCUUUUCCUUCAUUUUAAUUUAAAUGGAAACAGCCCCAUGCAGUUAGCGACUAUCUUGUUGGAAGGCCUCGAUUAGAGGCACAGACCCAUCAGAUGCAGACCUCAGCUCUGCUGGUACCUGCUGGUACCCUGGGCUUUCACUUUGCCUCUCUGAGCCUCAGUGUCCCCAUCUGUCAUAUGGAGCCAGUGAGUUCCCAACUCAGGGCUGGGAAUCGGCUGGAAAGAGGUGGUUCCUGCAGAGCACUUAGCGUGAGGCUGGGUGGCUACUAAGUUUCUACACUGGAUAGUUGCUGUGUUGCUGUGUGUUGUGAUUGCAG